AGGAUGAAAGAAAGCGAAGAAAGUAUAUUUUCCCACUAUGUAUAAUGUAAAUGAAUAAGUAUCUUACACGCAGGCAUUUAAUCUGUUUCCACAAUUUUUGAAGCGCACUCGGAUACUGCCGUCUUGAGUUAUGUUAAUCGUUGCAGCGUACGUGGUUCUCUUUCAGGUCUUGACAGACAAAUCAGCGGCAGAUCAAAAUAUCUCAAAUGCCCUACACGGCUGUAGCGGUUACAAUGCCCUCAACGCUAGUGUUUACAAGGCAAAUCUUGAUCCGGUCUUGAAUUCCCUGGCCAAAGACGUCUUAACUUCUCGUUUUGGGAAUGAAUCGAAGGGAACAGGCGGCGAUGAAGUGUAUGGCCUUGCUCAGUGCAGGGCCGACUUCCCUCUCUCUCACUGUGUCCAAUGUUUUCAAGAGGCACGGGACCAGCUUGCCCUGUUUUGCCCUACACAAAAUGGAGGCCGAGUGUAUGUCGACGGUUGUUUCCUGCGAUACGAGAAUGCUACAUUUUUCACCCAGCCUUACGACACCGGCUACUCUAAUUGUAGCUCUUCUUCCAACAGCAGCGCUGAGAAAUUUCCAGAGAAAACGCUGAAAUUGAUUACCGAGACCGUUGGCAGAGCUCCUGCAAAUAACAGUUUUGCAAUUGCUUGGACAGUUGAUUCGGCUUCCUCCACAAAUAUAUAUGUUCUUGCUGAAUGUUGGGAGUCUCUUGCUCCUGACGGCUGCCAAACAUGUCUGGAGCAGGCUCAGAAUCAGAUAGGCAACUGUCUUCCAUCUACGCAAGGUCAAGUGCUCGAAGCCGGCUGCUAUUUGCGAUACGACACGAAUUCUUUCUUUGCUCUCAAUGGGCUUGCAGCGACAAACACAGAUCGAGGUGGAGGAUCAAAAUCGAAGACUGUGGGGAUUAUUGUUGGAAUUACAGGGGGAGCAGUUCUCGUCAUAGUGGCCGCUUUGUUUGCCUAUUUCAAAUUCAGACAACCCACUCUUGGGAGUGAACGGCUCGACAGAGAUCAGCCAGGUGAUUUUCGUUGUAAUUUCGCAGACGAGGAACCAAAUUUUGGGGGAAAAGCUGUGAGGUUUGAUUACGAACAGCUUAGAGCGGCAACUGACGAUUUCGAUGACAAGAAUAAGAUUGGGGAAGGGGGCUUCGGCCAGGUUUAUAAGGGAACACUGCAGAGCGGGAGGGAGAUAGCGGUAAAGAGGCUGUUUGCAAGCGAGUCGGACAGAGUCACAAACGAGUUCUGGACAGAAGUUGAGGUUAUCAGCAGUGUCUCUCAUAGGAAUCUGGUUACGUUGCUGGGAUGCUGUACGCUACAAGACCAAAGGUUUCUCGUGUUCGAAUAUAUGGCAAAUCGAAGCCUCGACAAAAAUCUCUUUGGUAAGAGAAAAACUAGCCUAAGUUGGGAAGCACGAUUCGACAUCAUAUUGGGCACAGCGAGAGGUUUGGCUUACCUCCAUGAGCAUUCUCAUGUACGCAUUGUGCACAGAGACAUUAAAGCUGCCAAUAUUCUGUUAGAUGACAAAUUCCAGCCCAAAAUUGCAGAUUUUGGAUUGGCAAGGCUCUUCCCUCGUGACAGAACCCAUCUCACUACAAGGGUUGGGGGAACACUAGGUUAUACGGCUCCAGAAUAUGCAGUCCAUGGUCAAUUAACAGAAAAGGCCGAUGUGUACAGCUACGGCGUGGUCGUUCUGGAGAUAAUUAGCGGUAGAAAGUCUAUCCAGACGGGACUUCCAUCUGAUACGCAGCUUCUACUACCCUGGACGUGGAGACUAUAUCAAAGAAAUGAAGGAUUGGGUAUUGUGGAUCCAAGGCUGGGAGGAACGUUCGAUGCAGAACAGGUGUUGAAAGUAAUAAAUAUUGCUCUUGCGUGCACGCAUGACUCUUCAUCAAAGAGACCGUCAAUGUCAUAUGUUGUAUCAAUGCUUGCCCCAGUGUCAGUGGAGGCAAGACCAGUAAAACCUACGUUUAUGGAGAUUGAUAGUGACACGCAGCACAUGUUUUCUGGCUCCACAUCACAGUUGGGAUCCUCUUCAGCAGCAGGGCCAUCCAAUUCCUCUGCAGUUAUCACCCACUCUUUACAGGCUCGCUGAAAAUAGAAGUGUCAACAGAUGAAAGAAGACCAAGCUAGGACAAGGACGACCUCUUCCAGUCCAUCAUCAUCAAGGACGUUCCACAUACAAAAAGGGAGGAUUCAAGGUGCUUUGAAGCAUUGGAAGACUAGGGGUGUUCAAGGAAUUGCUAGAGCAUUACAAAAUUCUGCAGAACGCAAUAUUUGUGAUUCUAGCAAUGCUAUUGAAGAAGAGGACUGACCUUUUGUUUCAACUCUUAACAACAUCAAAGACUUUACCACAGCUUCAGGGCCAGUACAAAGUGUACACGAUUGUGUGGGUCAUCAGACAGGCAUGCUUAAGUGAUCUGGUAAUUGGAAUGUCAUUAUGGAUUCAGAAUCAGCUACCAUCAAGUGCUGGUGAAACAAAUGCCCCACCUUCCAGGGAAUUAACUUUACAAUGGAUAGAAAGAGUGAAGAGGGAGAUGCUAAACUAGAAACUUCUGUGAAAGUCUGCUGACAAUUGUUGCAAGACAAUUUUAGGAUGUUUCUCAUCUACAACUGCAUGCAUUAAGGUAACCACCGUGACAACAAUGCCAGUUGUUUCGAUUGCAUCCUGCACGCCACUGAAUGGGAAUUCAAUUUCACUUGGGUUUUGCCUCAUUCCAUUUUGGAGAUGUUUUUCCUUGAAUAUUUUCAAGAUGGGUUGUAGAUCUGGAGGUAAAAGAAGAUCUUUUUCUAGAAAAGAAUUGAAUUUUGCUUGGUAUCUUCUGAUUCACAAAAGCUGAAUGGAAAGGGCCCUUCCAGAUAAUUUGUAGUUUCCUGGUGAAUUUCCUCUGAUUAGAUGUUAGUUUGAGUUUUGUAAUGCUAACAUUGCAGCAGGCAUUCAUUUGCUCAAUUGCAUUUAUAUUUGGAAGUGAGAUAUCAAUAAUAAUGUUUCUUUUCUUAUCA